GUAGGACUAGUAUAAGUGGUAGUAUACUAAAUUUCCAAUUUGGUGGUCUCUUAAGUGAGGUUUUAUA
rnacentral:tRNA from 1 species